rnacentral:tRNA from 1 species
GGUUCUGUAGCUCAGCAUGGAUAGAGCGCCACGCCGCUUCUUCGGUUACUGCAUACUCUGAAGAUAUGAUUUCGCGAUAAAGGCUACACAUGGGAGGUCGCUGGUUCAAAUCCAGUCAGAACCC